rfam:Streptococcus infantis SK970 ctg1129914002311, whole genome shotgun sequence.
GGUAUUGUUUACCCCAUUUGUAAGGCCCCGGAACCUUUCAAAUAACUUGCGGACCGGAACAUCCGCCCUGUAAACAAAAA